UCAUCCCCAUCAAGUCAGUGAAAGACACCAUUACCUUCUCCACAUCUAACCGCCAUGCUCAGAAUUCCAACACAUCUUUAAUCGGCUUCAUAAUGACCUAGCGCCUGUGUUAAGAACCCAUCAAAACUAGCCUCUGAGUCGACCGCCUUUCAUAGUAGCGUUCCCUCCCACCUUAAGCCUUUCACCUGCAACAGCAAGACCAAGAAGAUGCGCCCGCCAGUUCUCCUGCUGACAUACACAGGUUUAGCCAUGCUGGUACUGACGAUGGAGCUCGGUUCCGUUUCCGGCUGCGCAUGCCCACCAUGCAUGGGGUUCGCCGAAGGAUCGCAAAGAUGUGAGUGCUGCGUCUAUUCAAUGCUGGGGAAGAGAUCGGCGCCCAUGCCAGAGUCGAGAUUAGCAAGCCAAGACAACAUAUUACUUCGGAUAAUUUCAACGCAACUUCACCCGGAUCAACUGAUCGUCAAGUGACAUGACCCUCUCAAUUCCCCUCUCAGCCUGGCGGCGCUAUGGAAACCUAGUGUUAUUUGCUGACAUUCUUAAAACGGAAUGAGAAUAUUCGUCUUUGUGUAAAUGUUUAAUUAUGAUCAAUAGGAUUUACUCAGUGAGCCGGCAGUCACCCAAUCCUGGAAGCAAUGGGGUAUCCUUCUUUUGUUAUCACUAGCUGUCAAAGAAUCGACGAAGAGCAAGCACUGUACACAAGGAAAGAAAUACAGAGCCAUGUUAUCUUUCAUUAUAAUUCCACCAGGAUCCUUCUAUUUGUUUCCAAUUAUUGGAAGCCUGUGGUGCGACCAUCUUGUGCUGAUAAAAUACCGACGUUCCUCUGAAAGUUCUUUGGACAAAUAUAGGUAUCUUGGAAAAGAAAAAUGGACAUGUUUUGGGUAGAAUCGACGUCACACACAUUCUUGAACCUGAGCAGACCUGUAGCCCUGCUGAAGUUGUUUACAGUCUUGUAGAGUCUGUAGAGGAGCAGAGACUUGUACAGGAGUCAGUCUUAUUGCAUAAAUAAAUGCUUCAACCAUCAAA